AGAGUUUGAUCCUGGCUCAGAAUGAACGUUGGCGGCGUGGAUUAGGCAUGCGAGUCGAGCGCGAAUCGUAGCAAUACGAGGAAAGCGGCGGAAGGGAGAGGAUAACGUGGGAAUCUACCCCCUUGUCUGGGAUAGCUGCGGGAAACUGCUGGUAAUACCAGAUAAAGUCUUUGGACCAAAGGUGUGAUUCCGCUAGGGGAUGAGCCCACGUCCUAUUAGCUUGUUGGCGGGGUAAUGGCCCACCAAGGCAAUGAUGGGUAGCGGGUGUGAGAGCACGACCCGCCUCACUGGGACUGAGAACUGCCCAGACACCUACGGGUGGCUGCAGUCGAGAAUCUUCGGCAAUGGGCGAAAGCCUGACCGAGCGACGCCGCGUGCGGGAUGAAGGCCUUCGGGUUGUAAACCGCUGUCGUAGGGGAGCAAGAAAUGAGGGUACUCCCUCAAAUUUGAGCGAUCCUAGGAGGAAGGAGAGGCUAAGCUCGUGCCAGCAGCCGCGGUAAGACGAGCUCUCCAAACGUUAUUCGGUAUCACUGGGCUUAAAGAGUUCGUAGGCGGCUUUGUAGGUGAGGUGUGAAAGCCCUCGGCUCAACCGAGGAACUGCGCUUCAAACCGCAAAGCUAGAGGGAGACAGGGGUGAGCGGAACAGAUGGUGGAGCGGUGAAAUGCGUUGAUAUCAUCUGGAACACCGGUGGCGAAAGCGGCUCACUGGGUCUUU
rnacentral:rRNA from 1 species